GACGACCGGCGCACGGGUGCGUAACGCGUAUAGAACCUACCUUUAACAGAGGGAUAGCCCAGAGAAAUUUGGAUUAAUACCUCAUAGUAUUGUUGAUUCGCAUGUUUUAGCAAUUAAAGAUUUAUUGGUUAAAGAUGGCUAUGCGUCAUAUUAGCUAGUUGGUUAGGUAACGGCUGACCAAGGCUACGAUAUGUAGGGGUCCUGAGAGGGAGAUCCCCCACACUGGUACUGAGACACGGACCAGACUCCUGCGGGAGGCAGCAGUGAGGAAUAUUGGACAAUGGAGGCAACUCUGAUCCAGCCAUGCCGCGUGUAGGAAGACUGCCCUAUGGGUUGUAAACUACUUUUGUAUAGGAAGAAUGUUCAAUACGUGUAUUGAUUUGACGGUACUAUAAGAAUAAGGAUCGGCUAACUCCGUGCCAGCAGCCGCGGUAAUACGGAGGAUCCAAGCGUUAUCCGGAAUCAUUGGGUUUAAAGGGUCCGUAGGCGGGAUGAUAAGUCAGUGGUGAAAGUUUGCGGCUUAACCGUAAAAUUGCCAUUGAUACUGUUGUUCUUGAAUGAUUGUGAAGUGGUUAGAAUAAGUAGUGUAGCGGUGAAAUGCAUAGAUAUUACUUAGAAUACCGACUGCGAAGGCAGAUCACUAACAAUUUAUUGACGCUGAUGGACGAAAGCGUGGGUAGCGAACGGGAUUAGAUACCCCGGUAGUCCACGCCGUAAACGAUGGUCACUAGCUGUUCGGUGCAAGCUGAGUGGUUAAGCGAAAGUGAUAAGUGACCCACCUGGGGAGUACGUUGGCAACAAUGAAACUCAAGGAAUUGACGGGGCCCGCACAAGCGGUGGAGCAUGUGGUUUAAUUCGAUGAUACGCGAGGA
rnacentral:rRNA from 1 species